AACGCGAAGAACCUUACCAAGGUUUGACAUGGCCGGAAAACUCGCAGAGAUGCGGGGUCCUUCGGGGCCGGUCACAGGUGGUGCAUGGCUGUCGUCAGCUCGUGUCGUGAGAUGUUGGGUUAAGUCCCGCAACGAGCGCAACCCUCGUCCUAUGUUGCCAGCGGGUCAUGCCGGGGACUCAUGGGAGACUGCCGGGGUCAACUCGGAGGAAGGUGGGGAUGACGUCAAGUCAUCAUGCCCCUUAUGUCUUGGGCUGCAAACAUGCUACAAUGGCCGGUACAGAGGGCUGCGAGACCGUGAGGUUAAGCGAAUCCCGGAAAGCCGGUCUCAGUUCGGAUCGGGGUCUGCAACUCGGCCCCGUGAAGCUGGAGUCGCUAGUAAUCGCGGAUCAGCAACGCCGCGGUGAAUACGUUCCCGGGCCUUGUA
rnacentral:rRNA from 1 species